rnacentral:rRNA from 1 species
AGCUCCAAUAGCGUAUAUUAAAGUUGUUGCAGUUAAAAAGCUCGUAGUUGGAUUUGUGGCUGUCUCGGGCGGCUUGGCACUUAGUGCCAUUGCUUGCCUGAGUCGCCAUCCUUGGGUGGAGCCUGCGUGGCAUUAGGUUGUCGUGCAGGGGAUGCCCAUCGUUUACUGUGAAAAAAUUAGAGUGUUCAAAGCAGGCUUAUGCCGUUGAAUAUAUUAGCAUGGAAUAAUAAGAUAGGACCUUGGUACUAUUUUGUUGGUUUGCGCACCAAGGUAAUGAUUAACAGGGACAGUUGGGGGUAUUCGUAUUCCAUUGUCAGAGGUGAAAUUCUUGGAUUUUUGGAAGACGAACUACUGCGAAAGCAUUUACCAAGGAUGUUUUCAUUAAUCAAGAACGAAAGUA